AUGCUCACUUCGACAGUACGUGUACUAAAAUAGGAAGGAUACAGACAAGAUAGCACGGCCCCUGUGCAAUGAUGACAUUCAAAUUCAUGAAGCAUUCCAUAUUUUU
ensembl:snRNA U6 U6 spliceosomal RNA